AUUGAACGCUGGCGGCAGGCCUAACACAUGCAAGUCGAGCGAGCGGCGGACGGGUGAGUAAUGUAUGGGGAACUGCCCGAUAGAGGGGGAUAACUACUGGAAACGGUGGCUAAUACCGCAUACCAUCGGAUGAACCCAUAUGGGAUUAGCUAGUAGGUGGGGUAAAGGCUCACCUAGGCGACGAUCUCUAGCUGGUCUGAGAGGAUGACCAGCCACACUGGGACUGAGACACGGCCCAGACUCCUACGGGAGGCAGCAGUGGGGAAUAUUGCACAAUGGGCGCAAGCCCGAUGCAGCCAUGCCGCGUGUGUGAAGAAGGCCUUAGGGUUGUAAAGUACUUUCAGCGAGGAGGCGUUACCCGCAGAAGAAGCACCGGCUAACUCCGUGCCAGCAGCCGCGGUAAUUC
rnacentral:rRNA from 1 species